GUCUCUGUAGCUCAAUAGAAGAGCGCUCCUCUGUGGAGGGAGUGGUUGGGGGUGCAAGUCCCCUCAGAGACCCA
rnacentral:tRNA from 1 species